UCAGUAACACGUCAGUCAACAUGCCCAGGGACGUGGAUCAACCUCGGGAAACUGAGGAUAAACCGCGAUAAGUCACUACUUCUGGAAUGGGUAAUGACUCAAACCUAUAUGGCCCCUGGAUUGGACUGCGGCCGAUCAGGCUGUUGGUGAGGUAAUGGCCCACCAAACCUGUAACCGGUACGGGCUCUGAGAGGAGGAGCCCGGAGAUGGGCACUGAGACAAGGGCCCAGGCCCUAUGGGGCGCAGCAGGCGCGAAACCUCUGCAAUAGGCGAAAGCUUGACAGGGUUACUCUGAGUGAUUUCCGUUAAGGAGAUCUUUUGGCACCUCUAAAAAUGGUGCAGAAUCAAGGGGUGGGCAAGUCUGGUGCCAGC
rnacentral:rRNA from 1 species